GUUCCCGUUGCGGGAGAGCGCGUGCGCCGCACGCCGCCGAAGGCGCAAUUCACCCGGAAUCGCUCAGGCAAAAGGACCGCAACAGCCAG
rnacentral:ncRNA from 2 species